rnacentral:rRNA from 2 species
GGGUUGUGAGGUUAAGCGACUAAGCGUACACGGUGGAUGCCCUGGCAGUCAGAGGCGAUGAAGGACGUGCUAAUCUGCGAUAAGCGUCGGUAAGGUGAUAUGAACCGUUAUAACCGGCGAUUUCCGAAUGGGGAAACCCAGUGUGUUUCGACACACUAUCAUUAACUGAAUCCAUAGGUUAAUGAGGCGAACCGGGGGAACUGAAACAUCUAAGUACCCCGAGGAAAAGAAAUCAACCGAGAUUCCCCCAGUAGCGGCGAGCGAACGGGGAGCAGCCCAGAGCCUGAAUCAGUAUGUGUGUUAGUGGAAGCGUCUGGAAAGGCGCGCGAUACAGGGUGACAGCCCCGUACACAAAAAUGCACAUAUUGUGAGCUCGAUGAGUAGGGCGGGACACGUGGUAUCCUGUCUGAAUAUGGGGGGACCAUCCUCCAAGGCUAAAUACUCCUGACUGACCGAUAGUGAACCAGUACCGUGAGGGAAAGGCGAAAAGAACCCCGGCGAGGGGAGUGAAAAAGAACCUGAAACCGUGUACGUACAAGCAGUGGGAGCACGCUUAGGCGUGUGACUGCGUACCUUUUGUAUAAUGGGUCAGCGACUUAUAUUCUGUAGCAAGGUUAACCGAAUAGGGGAGCCGAAGGGAAACCGAGUCUUAACUGGGCGUUAAGUUGCAGGGUAUAGACCCGAAACCCGGUGAUCUAGCCAUGGGCAGGUUGAAGGUUGGGUAACACUAACUGGAGGACCGAACCGACUAAUGUUGAAAAAUUAGCGGAUGACUUGUGGCUGGGGGUGAAAGGCCAAUCAAACCGGGAGAUAGCUGGUUCUCCCCGAAAGCUAUUUAGGUAGCGCCUCGUGAAUUCAUCUCCGGGGGUAGAGCACUGUUUCGGCAAGGGGGUCAUCCCGACUUACCAACCCGAUGCAAACUGCGAAUACCGGAGAAUGUUAUCACGGGAGACACACGGCGGGUGCUAACGUCCGUCGUGAAGAGGGAAACAACCCAGACCGCCAGCUAAGGUCCCAAAGUCAUGGUUAAGUGGGAAACGAUGUGGGAAGGCCCAGACAGCCAGGAUGUUGGCUUAGAAGCAGCCAUCAUUUAAAGAAAGCGUAAUAGCUCACUGGUCGAGUCGGCCUGCGCGGAAGAUGUAACGGGGCUAAACCAUGCACCGAAGCUGCGGCAGCGACACUAUGUGUUGUUGGGUAGGGGAGCGUUCUGUAAGCCUGUGAAGGUGUGCUGUGAGGCAUGCUGGAGGUAUCAGAAGUGCGAAUGCUGACAUAAGUAACGAUAAAGCGGGUGAAAAGCCCGCUCGCCGGAAGACCAAGGGUUCCUGUCCAACGUUAAUCGGGGCAGGGUGAGUCGACCCCUAAGGCGAGGCCGAAAGGCGUAGUCGAUGGGAAACAGGUUAAUAUUCCUGUACUUGGUGUUACUGCGAAGGGGGGACGGAGAAGGCUAUGUUGGCCGGGCGACGGUUGUCCCGGUUUAAGCGUGUAGGCUGGUUUUCCAGGCAAAUCCGGAAAAUCAAGGCUGAGGCGUGAUGACGAGGCACUACGGUGCUGAAGCAACAAAUGCCCUGCUUCCAGGAAAAGCCUCUAAGCAUCAGGUAACAUCAAAUCGUACCCCAAACCGACACAGGUGGUCAGGUAGAGAAUACCAAGGCGCUUGAGAGAACUCGGGUGAAGGAACUAGGCAAAAUGGUGCCGUAACUUCGGGAGAAGGCACGCUGAUAUGUAGGUGAAGUCCCUCGCGGAUGGAGCUGAAAUCAGUCGAAGAUACCAGCUGGCUGCAACUGUUUAUUAAAAACACAGCACUGUGCAAACACGAAAGUGGACGUAUACGGUGUGACGCCUGCCCGGUGCCGGAAGGUUAAUUGAUGGGGUUAGCCGCAAGGCGAAGCUCUUGAUCGAAGCCCCGGUAAACGGCGGCCGUAACUAUAACGGUCCUAAGGUAGCGAAAUUCCUUGUCGGGUAAGUUCCGACCUGCACGAAUGGCGUAAUGAUGGCCAGGCUGUCUCCACCCGAGACUCAGUGAAAUUGAACUCGCUGUGAAGAUGCAGUGUACCCGCGGCAAGACGGAAAGACCCCGUGAACCUUUACUAUAGCUUGACACUGAACAUUGAGCCUUGAUGUGUAGGAUAGGUGGGAGGCUUAGAAGUGUGGACGCCAGUCUGCAUGGAGCCGACCUUGAAAUACCACCCUUUAAUGUUUGAUGUUCUAACGUUGACCCGUAAUCCGGGUUGCGGACAGUGUCUGGUGGGUAGUUUGACUGGGGCGGUCUCCUCCUAAAGAGUAACGGAGGAGCACGAAGGUUGGCUAAUCCUGGUCGGACAUCAGGAGGUUAGUGCAAUGGCAUAAGCCAGCUUGACUGCGAGCGUGACGGCGCGAGCAGGUGCGAAAGCAGGUCAUAGUGAUCCGGUGGUUCUGAAUGGAAGGGCCAUCGCUCAACGGAUAAAAGGUACUCCGGGGAUAACAGGCUGAUACCGCCCAAGAGUUCAUAUCGACGGCGGUGUUUGGCACCUCGAUGUCGGCUCAUCACAUCCUGGGGCUGAAGUAGGUCCCAAGGGUAUGGCUGUUCGCCAUUUAAAGUGGUACGCGAGCUGGGUUUAGAACGUCGUGAGACAGUUCGGUCCCUAUCUGCCGUGGGCGCUGGAGAACUGAGGGGGGCUGCUCCUAGUACGAGAGGACCGGAGUGGACGCAUCACUGGUGUUCGGGUUGUCAUGCCAAUGGCACUGCCCGGUAGCUAAAUGCGGAAGAGAUAAGUGCUGAAAGCAUCUAAGCACGAAACUUGCCCCGAGAUGAGUUCUCCCUGACUCCUUGAGAGUCCUGAAGGAACGUUGAAGACGACGACGUUGAUAGGCCGGGUGUGUAAGCGCAGCGAUGCGUUGAGCUAACCGGUACUAAUGAACCGUGAGGCUUAACCUUACAACGCCGAAGGUGUUU